GCCACCGCCGCUUUAUUUUUAGCCGGCGGCUCAGCUCCGCUCAGCUGCUAUUGCAAGAGAGGAGGCUGGUGGGAGGAGACGAGGCAGAUCUUCAGCCGGCUGCGAGGAGGAGGAGCAGGAGGAAGCCUGGCGCACCAGCCAAGCGCGCCCCGCAUGCACGGAGCGGUGCCCUCUCCUCCCAGUGCCCCGCAGCUGCUGCUGGGGACGCACGGCGGCCGCUGGCUUUCCCCGCGCGGCCCCCGGGAGAGAGCCGAGAGCCGCCGGAGCGCAGGCUCCCUCCGUGCCGCGGCAGCGGGGGCGCAGCUCGCCUUUGCAGAUGGCCAGUCCGGGCUCUGGGCUGCUGGAGGCGACGCAGCCUCCGGGGGACUCGCCGGAGCCAGCUUUGGCCGAAGCGCAGCAGUGGAUCGAGCAAGUUACGGGGAGAACCUUUGGUGAUAAAGAUUUUCGGUCUGGAUUGGAAAACGGUGUUCUGCUGUGUGAGACAAUAUUGCCUUGUUCUUAAGAGGCUGUAAGGAAUUGGGGCUUAAAGAAUCUCAGCUUUUUGACCCAGUAGACCUGCAGGACAACUCAGCAAAGCAACUGUCAGGAAUCUUGACUGUAGCAGAAAGCUGAAAAAUGUUUUAGUCACCAUCUAUUGGCUGGGGAAAACAGCAAACAGCAGCACUGGUUUCAGUGGAGCAACGCUCAACCUGAGGGAGUUUGAAGGAUUGCUAACGCAGCUGAGA